rnacentral:ribozyme from 14 species
AAAAAAAACAAAAAAACAAAAACAAAACUACAUCUCAUUUUUUAUUGCUGUUUUUCUUCGUCGUUUUU